GGGCCCGCCAUGGUGCUCAGGGGUAGAGCGCUGCUCUUACAAAGCAGAUGUCGGCGGUUCGAAACCGUCCGCGCCCACCG
rnacentral:tRNA from 1 species